rnacentral:rRNA from 1 species
AGUGAACGCUGGCGGUAGGCCUAACACAUGCAAGUCGAACGGCAGCACAGUAAGAGCUUGCUCUUACGGGUGGCGAGUGGCGGACGGGUGAGGAAUACAUCGGAAUCUACUUUUUCGUGGGGGAUAACGUAGGGAAACUUACGCUAAUACCGCAUACGACCUACGGGUGAAAGCAGGGGAUCUUCGGACCUUUCGCGAUUGAUUGAGCCGAUGUCGGAUUAGCUAGUUGGCGGGGUAAAGGCCCACCAAGGCGACGAUCCGUAGCUGGUCUGAGAGGAUGAUCAGCCACACUGGAACUGAGACACGGUCCAGACUCCUACGGGAGGCAGCAGUGGGGAAUAUUGGACAAUGGGCGCAAGCCUGAUCCAGCCAUACCGCGUGGGUGAAGAAGGCCUUCGGGUUGUAAAGCUCUUUUGUUGGGAAAGAAAAGCAGCAGGUUAAUACCCCGCUGUUCUGACGGUACCCAAAGAAUAAGCACCGGCUAACUUCGUG